rnacentral:rRNA from 1 species
GACGAACGCUGGCGGCGUGCCUAAUACAUGCAAGUCGAGCGAGACUCUUCGGAGUCUAGCGGCGGACGGGUGAGUAACACGUGGGCAACCUGCCUGUAAGACUGGGAUAACACCGGGAAACCGGUGCUAAUACCGGAUAAUCCUUUUCCUCUCAUGGGGAAAAGCUGAAAGUCGGUUUCGGCUGACACUUACAGAUGGGCCCGCGGCGCAUUAGCUAGUUGGUGAGGUAACGGCUCACCAAGGCGACGAUGCGUAGCCGACCUGAGAGGGUGAUCGGCCACACUGGGACUGAGACACGGCCCAGACUCCUACGGAAGGCAGCAGUAGGGAAUCUUCCACAAUGGACGAAAGUCUGAUGGAGCAACGCCGCGUGAGCGAUGAAGGCCUUCGGGUCGUAAAGCUCUGUUGUUAGGGAAGAACAAGUACCGGAGUAACUGCCGGUACCUUGACGGUACCUAACCAGAAAGCCACGGCUAACUACGUGCCAGCCGCCGCGGUAAAAC